CCUACGGGAGGCAGCAGUGGGGAAUAUCGGACAAUGGGGGGAACCCUGAUCCAGCCAUGCCGCGUGUGUGAAGAAGGCCCUCGGGUUGUAAAGCACUUUCAGUGAGGAAGAACGCCUGGUGGUUAAUACCCAUCAGGAAAGACAUCACUCACAGAAGAAGCACCGGCUAACUCCGUGCCAGCAGCCGCGGUAAUACGGAGGGUGCGAGCGUUAAUCGGAAUUACUGGGCGUAAAGCGCGCGUAGGUGGCUUGAUAAGCCGGUUGUGAAAGCCCCGGGCUCAACCUGGGAACGGCAUCCGGAACUGUCAAGCUAGAGUGCAGGAGAGGAAGGUAGAAUUCCCGGUGUAGCGGUGAAAUGCGUAGAGAUCGGGAGGAAUACCAGUGGCGAAGGCGGCCUUCUGGACUGACACUGACACUGAGGUGCGAAAGCGUGGGUAGCAAACAGGAUUAGAUACCCGGGUAGUC
rnacentral:rRNA from 1 species